rnacentral:lncRNA from 1 species
AGAGAUAGCACCUGCCCUGCAGAAGCUAAUGAGAUACAGUGUGAUAUAUGUUCUCAGAGGUUUAAGGGCAGGAAGCUAUAAAUGCACUGGGUAAAACAGCAACUAAUUCAGUUGUGAGGAUAUUAGACGUUUCUUAGGAAAAUAUUUCAAUUCAGAACUAAAAUUUUAGUAUAAGCACAGGAUUUUGUCAUUAAAAAUUGUAUUCUCCUUCUGUGAUUUUUCUCCAGUCAAAACAAUCUACAAUCCCAAAUACAUGUUUUAAAAUAAUAUAAAUGGGCCAGGCUUGGUGGCUCAUGCCUGUAAUUCCAAAACUUGGGAGGUCAAAAGCUGGAGGAUCACUUGAGCUCAGGAGUUCAAGACCAGCCUGGGGAACAUGGCAAAACCCUGUCUCUACAAAAAAAGAAAAAAAAUUAGCCAGGUGUGGUGGUGCACACCUGCAGUCCCAACUACUUGGGAGGCAGAGGCAGGAGAAUUGCUUGAGCCUGGGAGAUGGAGGUUACAGUGAGCCAAGAUUGCACCAUGCACUCCAGCCUGCGUGGUGGGAGUAAAAUCCUGUCUCAAAAAAUAAAUAAAACAAAAUAAAUGGCUGGGAGGUGGGGUAUGUCUAGGAAAGAAUGAAUACAUUUAUCACAUGUUCUAGAACAAAUCCUAUCUGCCCACUUUCAUAUUGUUCCCAUAUAUGGGUUUGUGUGCACACACCUUCAGCCUAAUAAGGAACUGAGGGAAUAUUAUAGGGUAUCUGUGGUAAACAGAUUCUAGCGGGGCCCCAAUGACUAUCACCUCCUGGUAUUCAUACCGUUGUGUUUAGUGUGGCAGAGGCAAAGCAAAGUAUUCACCAAAUCUCUUUGGUAUGACUGCUUCCCAGAUGCUUUAGGAAGGUUACAAUUCCCAGUCUUCUUGCAGUUAGGCAGAGCCAUUGAGUCCUUCUAGCCAAUAAAAUAAAAAUGGAAGUGAUCUAUAUCACUUUCUGGUUGAGGCAAUGAAAAGCUCACUGUGGAUUCUCCAGGCUAUCUCUUCCCCUUGGGCAGUUAACACAGAGGCUGUGGGUUGGCAUGCAGAGCCACAAGAUCAAAGGAUCCUGGCUCCCUGAACCACCCCAUGAAGGACAGUUACUAUGGGCAGUCAGCCAACCUAUGCCAGAUUUCACACGCAUGAGAAAUUAACUUUAUCUGUUAAGUAUCUGAAAUUUUUAUUUGUUACUGCAGCAUAAACCUAGUCUGUGCUAAUGCAUUUGAAUCACAAAGUGAAAAUGGAAUUGGCAAAAGGUAAGUAGACAGGCCAGACACAGUGGCUCAUGCCUGUAAUCCCAGCGCUUUGGGAGGCCAAGGCAGGCAGAUCACUUGAGUCCAAGAGUUCGAGACCAGCCUGGGCAACAUGGUGAAACUCCAUCUCUACAAAAAUACAAAAAUUAGCCAGGCAUGGUGGUGGGCACCUGUAAUCCCAGCUACUCGGGAGGCUGAGACAUGAGGAUCACUUGAGCUGGGGAGGCAGAGCCAAGAUCACACCACUACAACCCAGCCUGGGCAAAAAAAAAAAAAAA